AGCAGCCGCGGUAAUUCCAGCUCCAAUAGCGUAUAUUUAAGUUGUUGCAGUUAAAAAGCUCGUAGUUGAAUUUCGGGAUCAGUACGCUGGUCGUGCCUUUGGUAUGUACUGGUGUCACUGAUUCCUCCCUUCUGAAGAACCGUUAUGCCAUUUAUUUGGUGUGGCGGGAAAUCAGGACUGUUACUUUGAAAAAAUUAGAGUGUUUAAAGCAGGCUCGCGCUUGAAUACAUUAGCAUGGAAUAAUGAAAUAGGACGUUUGAUCUUAUUUUGUUGGUUUCUAGGAUCGACGUAAUGAUUAAUAGGGUUAGUUGGGGGCAUUAGUAUUCAAUUGUCAGAGGUGAAAUUCUUGGAUUUAUUGAAGACUAACUACUGCGAAAGCAUUUGCCAAGGAUGUUUUCAUUAAUCAAGAACGAAAGUUAGGGGAUCGAAGACGAUCAGAUACCGUCGUAGUCUUAACCAUAAACUAUGCCGACUAGGGAUCGGAUGAUGUUAAUUUUUAAUGACUCAUUCGGCGCCUUAA
rnacentral:rRNA from 1 species